rnacentral:rRNA from 1 species
AGUGAACGCUGGCGGUAGGCCUAACACAUGCAAGUCGAACGGCAGCACAGUAAGAGCUUGCUCUUACGGGUGGCGAGUGGCGGACGGGUGAGGAAUACAUCGGAAUCUACUUUUUCGUGGGGGAUAACGUAGGGAAACUUACGCUAAUACCGCAUACGACCUACGGGUGAAAGCAGGGGAUCUUCGGACCUUGCGCGAUUGAAUGAGCCGAUGUCGGAUUAGCUAGUUGGCGGGGUAAAGGCCCACCAAGGCGACGAUCCGUAGCUGGUCUGGGAGGGUGAUCAGCCACACUGGAACUGAGACACGGUCCAGACUCCUACGGGAGGCAGCAGUGGGGAAUAUUGGACAAUGGGCGCAAGCCUGAUCCAGCCAUACCGCGUGGGUGAAGAAGGCCUUCGGGUUGUAAAGCCCUUUUGUUGGGAAAGAAAAGCAGCAGGUUAAUACCCCGCUGUUCUGACGGUACCCAAAGAAUAAGCACCGGCUAACUUCGUG